UAAAAAAAGUAUGGAAUCGUGGCUCAGAUAGAGCGCUGGCGGCAUGCCUUACACAUGCAAGUCGAACGGCAGCAUGAUCUAGCUUGCUAUAUUGAUGGGGAGUGGCGACCGGGUGAGUAAUACAUCGGAACGUGCCCUGUAGUGGGGGAUAACUAGUCGAAAGAUUAGUUAAUCCCGCAUACGCCCUGAGGGUGAAAAGUGGGGGACCUCAAGCUACUCAUUGAUCAGGAGUCACCGAUGUCUGUAUUAUUUAAUUGGGGGGCAAACCCCCUCCAAGGCGAUAAUCAGUAUGUGUUCAGAGAGGAUGCUCACCCGCGGUGCGAUUGAGACGCGACUCAGUCUCCUGCGGGAGGCAGCAGUGGAGAUUCUUGAACAAUGGGGAAAACCGUGAUACAGCAAUGCCGCGUAGUGUGAAGAAGGCCUUGGGGUUGUAAAGCACUUUUGUCCGGAAAGAAAUUGCACUUGUUAAUAUUAGUUGUGGAUGCCGGUACCGCAAGAAUAAGGCCCGGUUAACUAGGUCCCAGCACCCGCGGUAAUAGGUAGGGUCCAACCGUUAUUCGGAAUUACUGGGCGUAAAGCGUGCGCAGGCGUUUGUGCAAUGGUUAUGUGAAAUCCCCGGGUAUAACCUGGGAAUUGCUUUAUAGACUGCAUGGUUAGAGUCUGUCAGAGGGGGGUAGAUUUCCGCGUGUAGCAGUGAAAUGCGUAGAGAUGGGGAGGAAUCCCGAUGGCGAAGGCAUCCCCCGGGGAUAACACUGACGGUCAGGCGAGAAAGCGUGGGGAGCAAACAGGAUUAUAUCCCCGGUAGUCCACGCCAAAAGCGAGUCAUCUAGUUGUUGGGGAUUCCUUUCCUUAGUCCGUAGCUAACGCAGUGUAUUGACCGCUUGGGGGAG
rnacentral:rRNA from 1 species